GACGUAGGGCGCGAGCGUUGUCCGGAUUUAUUGGGCGUAAAGAGCUCGUAGGCGGCUUGUUGCGUCGGCUGUGAAAUCCCGAGGCUCAACCUCGGGUCUGCAGUCGAUACGAGCAAACUAGAGUGUUGCAGGGGAGACUGGAAUUCCUGGUGUAGCGGUGAAAUGCGCAGAUAUCAGGAGGAACACCAAUGGCGAAGGCAGCUCGCUGGAACGGUACUGACGCUGAGGCGCGAAAGCGUGGGGAGCGAACAGG
rnacentral:rRNA from 1 species